rnacentral:miRNA from 1 species
GAUGACCUCAGCACAGGGCAUUUCCUGAGUAUUAAUGACCAUUCAGAGUUAAUGGCCCUCGGUUUUGCCUCGAGACAUCAGCUCCUCCUAACUGGUCAUUAAUUCCCAGGAAAUGCCCCAUGCCGAGGUCAUU